AUGAACGCUGGCGGCGUGCUUAACACAUGCAAGUCGAACGAAGCACUUAAGAUUGAUUCUUCGGAUGACGUCUUUUGUGACUUAGUGGCGGACGGGUGAGUAACGCGUGGGUAACCUGCCUCACACAGGGGGAUAACAGUUAGAAAUGACUGCUAAUACCGCAUAACCCGAUAGGAUCGCAUGAUCCAGACAGAAAAGAUUUAUCGGUGUGAGAUGGACCCGCGUCUGAUUAGCUAGUUGGUGAGGUAACGGCCCACCAAGGCGACGAUCAGUAGCCGGCAUGAGAGGGUGAACGGCCACAUUGGGACUGAGACACGGCCCAAACUCCUACGGGAGGCAGCAGUGGGGAAUAUUGCACAAUGGGGGAAACCCUGAUGCAGCGACGCCGCGUGAGUGAAGAAGUAUUUCGGUAUGUAAAGCUCUAUCAGCAGGGAAGAAAAUGACGGUACCUGACUAAGAAGCCCCGGCUAACUACGUG
rnacentral:rRNA from 1 species